UGCCGUUGCUGAUCUCAAAACGGGAUGGAACUGCAAGUCAUGGCCGUGUGUUGAGCCACUACAUUACACACAGACUGAUAGUUAUAACUGUGGUGUGAUUGUAUGUCUUUUUGCUCGGUGUUUGUGUGAGGGGUUAGAUGUCAAUGGAAGUUACAACGUGCAAAUGGAAAGAGAGAGAAUAACGUCUGUCAUAUUUGGCUCCUGUUACGAUGACCUUGAUGAGAGAAACACCGCAGUCUGUAAGAUUUGUAAAGACGACGAUGGAGAGGAUUGGCUUGGGUGUGAUAGCUGUGGCCAGUUUUUCCACGCAAGUUGUCUGAAUGUGCCUUUCGCAGAGACGCUUACACAACAUUUCACCUGCCGUUAGGGUGGCUUCUUUUCGGAUCAAGUGGACUUUAAUGUCAUGUCUAGACCUUAAUCUACCAGGAUUGCGAAUACAGUUCUUGGUAAUCGAUUAAAAUAUAUAUUCAGGAACGUCACGGAUCCAAAAUCGUAACGUGAUGGAGCCAACAAUAUGAAGAACAUCUCAGAGUUCAAGAUGUUUUAUUUUUGUUCGAUUCGACGUUUAGUUUUCAUCCUGAGUGCUUCUGUUAAAGUGAAUAGAAAGAAAAAGUUUGAACGGAAAACAUAAUUAUUUAUCAUAUGGUUGUUUUGAGAAAAGGUCUCCUAAAUCGAGCGACCUUUAUCGAAACAUUUGAGGGAUGGUAAACACAUUAGCCUUAAUUUGGCUGUUUCUUGAAGCUCUGAGUUUUCCUCCUUGGAUAUUUUAACAUGGAAUAGAGGCGAUUGUUUAUAUAUAAUAUGAAGUAAGAGAACUUCAGCUACUUGAAUUUUUGUUAUGAAAGUUUUCCAUCUUAGCCUGUAGAUACAAACUUAUAAAAAGACUAAAAAACUAUUCAGAUCGAGAACUAAAUUUUUGUAGAGUUCCCUAGCUUUUCUUUUCCCGGAAAAAUAGUAGAGAUUGCAAAAAUCAAGUGAAAAGCGCGCCAGCUGUGAUUAACGCCUUGGACAACCGGAAGUCGGUCACGAUACUUUCUUUACGUCGCGUAGCAAGUUACCAAACAAAAAUAUAAUUUUUUGAUACCUCUCCCGAUACCUUCGUUGCUUAUUAGAGCAGUGAAAAAUAUAUUUAUAGUCGAAGCUUUUGAAAAAUUGCUUAAUUUGUUAUUUAGCAAAAUUUAUUGUUAACAUUUCGGGAUUGAUACCACGAUUAUUUAAUGCAACAACUACAAAUGAUUUGUCUCUACAUGAUUCAUUAAAGCUAUUUCA